rnacentral:rRNA from 1 species
GAUGAACGCUGGCGGCGUGCCUAAUACAUGCAAGUCGAGCGAACAGACGAGGAGCUUGCUCCUCUGACGUUAGCGGCGGACGGGUGAGUAACACGUGGAUAACCUACCUAUAAGACUGGGAUAACUUCGGGAAACCGGAGCUAAUACCGGAUAAUAUAUUGAACCGCAUGGUUCAAUAGUGAAAGACGGUUUUGCUGUCACUUAUAGAUGGAUCCGCGCCGCAUUAGCUAGUUGGUAAGGUAACGGCUUACCAAGGCAACGAUGCGUAGCCGACCUGAGAGGGUGAUCGGCCACACUGGAACUGAGACACGGUCCAGACUCCUACGGGAGGCAGCAGUAGGGAAUCUUCCGCGAUGGGCGAAAGCCUGACGGAGCAACGCCGCGUGAGGGAUGAAGGUCUUCGGAUCGUAAAACUCUGUUAUUAGGGAAGAACAAAUGUGUAAGUAACUAUGCACGUCUUGACGGUACCUAAUCAGAAAGCCACGGCUAACUACGUG